CUACGGGCCGCUGCAGUGAGGAAUUUUGCGCAAUGGGGGAAACCCUGACGCAGCAACGCCGCGUGAGCGAAGAAGGCCCUCGGGUCGUAAAGCUCUGUCAAGUGGGAAAAAAAUUUUUUGAUCAAUAGUCAAAAGACUUGAUGGUACCACUGGAGGAAGCACCGGCUAACUCCGUGCCAGCAGCCGCGGUAAUACGGAGGGUGCGAGCGUUGUUCGGAUUUACUGGGCGUAAAGAGCGUGUAGGCGGUUUAGCAAGUCAGAUGUGAAAGCCCUGGGCUCAACCCGGGAAGUGCAUUUGAAACUGCGUCACUAGAGUAUGGGAGAGGAGAUUGGAAUUCCUGGUGUAGAGGUGAAAUUCGUAGAUAUCAGGAGGAACACCCGUGGCGAAGGCGAUUCUCUGGACCAAUACUGACGCUGAGACGCGAAAGCGUGGGGAGCAAACAGGAUUAGAUACCCUGGUAGUC
rnacentral:rRNA from 1 species